GCAAAGAUAAAAACACGGUUCGGUCGGUAGUCCGGACGCGGCCGCAGGGCCGUCAGUAACCUGCCUCCUUGGUUGUCCGUUCUUUGCA
rnacentral:ncRNA from 1 species